AAUAAGUACAGUUUUAUACUAUUCAUAUCCAAUGUUUGAUCAUCUUAUUUAAAAAAUUUUAUGAUUAAUAUUUUUAUUGUUAUUAGAUGAUAACACAUAAAUAUUACUUUAUGUGUGACUAAUUUUUUUUGAAAAAAAUCAUAAAAUUUCCAAAUAAGAUGGACGGUCAAAUGUUGGAUACGCAUACCAACGCUGUAUUUAUU
rnacentral:pre_miRNA from 1 species